rnacentral:lncRNA from 1 species
CCAAAACCCCCCCCCGAAAGCAGCGCCAAGUUUUUGGUCUCAACUGUUAUAUCCUGCGGCAUUUGGGGUGGACCAGUGGAGUGUCCUUGUCGCACACGCUUUUGUGUGCAGCUGUCAGGUGUCAAAGUGUUGCAGUCAAUGAGCUUUCCUUAUACACGUCUGCCUCUCUGCUGUAGUCCUCUCCUUGUCAGUUGCCAGCUCACGUUUAGUUUUAGUUUUUGUUAUAUUAUUUUUUGUGUUGGGCUUUUGGCUGCCCAAUGAGCACGAUAACGACGGGGAUAGCAUCUGAAGCAGCUGUCCUUUAUCGUUGUUUUCCGCCAGGAGAGAUCACAGGGGGGGCAACAAUCCAUAAACGAACAAAUUGCCUGAAAAUCAAUUUCGUUGGCGGCGUCGAGCCCCUGUCGGCGGCUACGUUUGCCCGCUUUUGGCUCGUCCUCUGUGGCUGCGGCUUUGUUGAGGCGUUUUUCCAGGGCAUAAGUAGCUGACUGGCUGACUGGCUGGCUGGUUUUAUGUGUGUGCUCCCCUCCCGCUAGCUUGUAAAAUUUAUGCACAUGUUUUUGGCCGAAAAAGAAACCCUGUCUGGUGGUGUUGAAAUUUGUCUGGGCUGGACGCCAUCAACUGAAAGCGCCCAAAAGUAGUUUGAUGGGUGUCUAGAAGUCAAGAGGUGUCUGGGCUUUGGGUUUCCUGGGAAUACACAGAAUAAUUCAAGGCUCAAUCUGUCUGUUCUUAAAGAUUUCCAGGCAGAGGACUCUCGAGCAUAUUGUUUUUGCCCACAAAACUUGAUUAGAAACGGAGACGGAGAGCAAACACUUGACUGCAUUUGCCGUGAGUGUCCUGUGAGUGUCCUGUGGGUGUCCUGUGGGUGCCCUGUGGGGGUGGUUGCCCGCAGGGAAACAGACAACACCUGCCCCGCAAGCACCCACAGAAGCGCCAAGCGAUUAAGCUCUAAAUGUCACUCGAAUGUCAUUUGAUUACACGUUGAUGUUUGGAGAUGACUUGGGAGACUCGAGAGCAAAUGCCGAUGAACGCCGUCCACACACAGCAGCACAGCCAGCCCAGCAGGAGUUGGUCUGCUCCCUUCUGCCCUUCUGCUCCUUGCUGGCUAUCAGCUUGCCAGCCAGUUUGCUGGCUAACCAAAGGUGAGCAAUUAUCGGCACUUAAGCGGUGGCGGCAUCCAACGGACCGGAAGUGCCAAGCAGCCGGGUAGAUGGAAGGGAUGGAAGGAAGGACGCCCAGCAGCUAGUUGGCAUAAUUUAGCUGCCGGUGCAGCUUCGCCAACAGAGCGAAGAGUCGCCUUCCUGCAGCAGCAGAGCCAAACAACUUCCAAAUGCAACUGAGCGUACAUAAUUAAUUAUUUGUACAAGUGGGGGAGUGUGUGUGUGUCCUUGGUAGCAUGUGUCAGAGCGUGGCCCUUGUGUCUCUGGGGUCAAUUAACGAAUGUUUGCGGUCAAAAUUGCAUACAGAUUGAAUGACUUGGGCCAGCCACAUAUUUCCAUUUGUCGUUUGCACUUGAUGGCCUGAUGGACUGCUUGAUUGAUUGAUUGAUUGAUUGAUUGAGCGAUUAGUUGGCUGCACC